ensembl:lncRNA
GUAACACAGGAAGAUAAUCAUACAAGUGCUGUAUACCUCUGUGGAAAGUGUCUUCACUAGGAUUUCAAUAAUGAGUAGCAUGAAAACCUCUAGAUACAGAGGGGUUCUGCUCUGCUUGGCAUGAUGCAGUGCAACUGAGUUGCUCAGAGUUAAGCAGCUCUGGCAAGGAAACCACAUGUUCCACACAACAUUUCUCUCUUCCUUUAAGCGUGCUCUAAGACAAUUUACGAUUCAUCUGCAAACUGCCUGGCACUGAACACAGAGAGAAGAGCAGAAAUCCCCUGAGCUAGCACAUCCUAUCUGCAUCGUGCUGAUCCACUUGCUGUCAGGAGAACUGGUCCCAUCUUGGGCAGCCCUUAUGGGGUUGGGUUAUGCCCACACUGGGCGAUCCCCCCAUGUCUCUGCAUGCUGCACACCCCUCCUUUGGCCUAUGGGAGAUAAAGAGAGAGCUGCUUCCGUGCAGCUCCUGUCCCAAAGCCUCCAGCCUCAGCCCGGUUUCAGAAAUGGGAUUCACAAUCUCAACAGCAACCUGUUGCUGGUACGUAGAGAAUGCUUAUCAACAACUGCUAAGUCAUCUGCAAGCUUUUCAGCUGAUAUAAGUAUCUGCAUCCUUCUGCACAAGUGUUGUUCUCUUUGUGUCUCUGGGUUCUCUUCUGGGUUUAGCUGGCACUUGAUCUUGCCAGUAAAAUCUGAUGCUUCUUGCUAUAAUAAUGAGAAAGACUCGGGAAAGAAAAAUUAAGUGUUUAUGAGUCAGAAUUCUAGACUUAGCUCUUUUGUGCCACACUAAUGCAAUUGGAGUGAAUAAAAUCAUGCAUCAAUCCAACCGCAGUUCUCUUUGCUGCAGAUCUACAAGUAUUAAAGAAAAAUAAGAGGGGAAAAAAAAACAACAACUCUACAAAGCUUUACUAAAUCACACAAGAUAAUAAAAACAAAUGUUUUGCGUUAUACUGUCAAAGAAAGAAAAAAGACUUCUGCCCUCUCCUGAUUGAGUAUUUCAUUGCCUGCAUCCAUAACCAGUGAAAAGUAGAUAUCUCCAUCCAGGCUUGUUGAAGAAGCGCUUCUGUUGCUGCAAAGGACAUAGUGGAUGCACUGAUCACUACGUUCUGUUAAGCCACUGCGUGGUCACAGUAUGAGAGCUGAGGGAAAAGUAAAUUACAGAGGAAGGCGUGACCCUUCUGUGAUGGGUAGCUGUGUAUUUCCGUGCUGAUAGCCAAGGUCAUGCAAACUCUCAAGCCUCUGCUCACCCCAGGGAAUCUUAGUUCAGGACGUUCCUUACAGCACAAUUAGUCACUCGGUGUUUUGUCUGUGCCCUCUCUCUUCUUAUCUCACCAUUACUUCCUCUGCUUUAAGGCUCAUGUAUCCAGGGGAUGCGGGCAGCUGGAGAAAUAUUCUUUUAAUGAGCCUCAUUUGUUAGGUGCUACUGUUGAUGAAACUAUUAGAUGGAAUCAAAAAUUGAACAUAGUUACAGUACCUAUGUUUGCUAUCUACAAAAAAAGUGUGCUAAUGCAGCUUGGUUGCUAUGGUACAAAAGCUGACAUCAGGAACACGAAGAUGCAUUUGCCUUUUCGCAGUACUUAAGAUGGCAGGCUCGUUGACUAAUCUGGUGGGUGGCAUACUGCACUGUUACUUAACAAGGUGCUUCUGGUGCACGAGAAAUGGAAACAGGGAUCAGUUGCUGCUUAGAAUGUAAUCAAGUUUCUCAAGUCUGAUUCCAGUGUUCUGCCUGUCCACUUUGGGAGUGUUUGUACUUAAUUCCUUUCUUUCAUUAUUUUUUUUCCCCAAUGCCUUUUUCAGUCUAUUCUGAUCUUAGCAGAAGCCUUAGUUCUGUUCAGUUUGACUACAUGCAUUACUUAAGUGUAGUAAUUCUUAGGAGCAAAAGAAAGACCACGUAUACAGGUAGAAGGAAGAGGUUGAUUUUAUUGUGUUUUAUCUGAAAGUGGAUGUAAAACUUGUGAAAAUUACUACCUUAGUAGCUCUAGAAGAGGAACCUUCCUCUGCUUAUCCAUUGAAAAUCCAGUGUGGAGAACAGCAGUAUCGAUUUAUCAUAUGUUGAUCUCCUAUGUGCUUUAAGCCAAACCAGGAGAGAUCUUGGCUAGGAGCAGAAAGCUACUGAUUUUCAGAGGGAGUGAUUUCACAUUUAGUGAAACCAGUGCCAGUGUUUUUAUGUAUUGCACUCAGUUUUGCACCAUGCUUUCAGACCAUUCCUCUUUGGCACUGCUGCUUAGCUUCUGAGUAAGACCAAGCUCAUGCUGUUGCUGUCACAAGGCUUCCUACCCGUUCAAACCAGGCACUGUGGCAACAUAUUUGAAAGAAUCUUCACCCACAACUUAGCCUUGAAAAUGUUGCCAAUAAUGAAUUCCUUCCUUAACCAACACUUACUUUCUGGGAAUAGUGAAACAAGGCUGCUUUGGGCAAGUGAUGUGAAGUGAUAGGUCUGCAAGCCCUUGUUAUGACUCACCUUCGUUUCUAUCACGUGUUCCUCUGCUACUUUGUCCUUUGCCUUUAUCACACUGUACACACUUGUGGCUCCCCAGAAGAUAGAUGGUGUUUGUUGUAAAACAUUCUGAACGUUUUUCAAGUGAGUUACGCCCUUUCUGUAAACCCAACAAUAAAUUACAAUGAGUUACUAAUUAGUAGGGGUGUUAAAAUACGAAAUGAUGUAACGAGCAAGCUGCAUUAGCCAUUUCCUGUAGGAAAGAAGCAUAGAGAGUUAAUUUGCAUCCAGAUGCUUAUCCAAAUAGAAGUCAUUACAGGACUGGAGCUUAAGCUGACACAGGUCAGCGAGGUGGCCAAUAUCACCAAGCCAGAGGGGACGGGGUUCCCUCUAUCCCAGUGUCUGACUUUCCUGCUGCUCACACUGCAAGCAAUCUAGAGGCUUUCAAGCAACUUCGCUGGGUUUGGGAGCUUUGUUUUGUAAUUAACGUCCCGUUACUCAUGCUGGGAGCAUGUCGUGUGAAGGUCAAACACUUGGAAAUAGAAGGGCCAGCCGCUGGUGGAGGUAAAAUUAGUUCUGGUGUUUCCACUGAUGCUUCCUGCGUGCGGAGACAGCGCCGGUGGGUGCCGCAGAGGGCACGUCGGCAAUGGCAUCAGCUGCUGCAGCAGGGAGCCGCCAACGGGAGGUCUGCCCGCGCCCCGGGGCGGCUGCUUCCAGCAUCCCGAUCCGUGCUGUGACGCGGGGAUUUUGUGUUCUAAACGAGAAGCUGAGGCGCACGGGGGAGAAGGAGGAAACCGUCUGUCUUCCGUUCCGCCGCGGCGUUCCUAACCCACGCCCCGGCCCCGCAGUCGCUCAGCCGGGGCCGCUUCAGUGGUGCUGAGGCCGCCCUGAAGCUCGAAGCCGUUCUGUAGGCGGUCCCGCAGCUUCUCGGUAACCCCCCCGGGCUCUUUGGGGGCUUUCCGGCGCGGUUACCCACCGGCCCCGUCCCGCCCGCUCCGCCCCGGCAGCUCGCGGGGCCGGACGCGCUGCCUUCCUGCCGUUCGCCUUCGCUCCCGGUGCGGUGCGGCCUUCUCCCGUGAAUCAGCACUGACUCAGCCGGCCGGCAUCUCGCCGUAGAAAGCAGACCGUUGAAAGAACGCUCUCGGUGACCGUAAUCCACGUCUUACGGCGCUGACGGAAAGUCACGGCACGCACCGGGCCCCUCCGUCCGCGGGCACAGGGCGACGCUCACCUCCUCGGACCUCCGCGGCCCUCCGCCUCACCCCGUUACGAACUCCCCGGGAGGCACCGAACCCGGGAGCCGCUAUUGCUGAGGGUCCGUAAGGGAAGAGGGGCGGUGGGCGGGGUCACCUUGCGCUGACCCCCCCCCCCGCUCCCACCCUGUGCUGCGCGCGCCGGU